rnacentral:rRNA from 1 species
GAUGAACGCUGGCGGCGUGCCUAAUACAUGCAAGUCGAGCGAACGGACGAGAAGCUCGCUCUUCUGAUGUUAGCGGCGGACGGGUGAGUAACACGUGGAUCACCUACCUAUAAGUCUGGGAUAACUUCGGGAAACCGGAGCUAAUACCGGAUAAUAUUUUGAACCGCAUGGUUCAAAAGUUAAAGACGGUCUUGCCGUCACUUAUAGAUGAAUCCGCGCUGCAUUAGCUAGUUGGUAAGGUAACGGCUUACCAAGGCAACGAUGCAUAGCCGACCUGAGAGGGUGAUCAGCCACACUGGAACUGAGACACGGUCCAGACUCCUACGGGAGGCAGCAGUGGGGAAUCUUCGACAAUGGGCGAAAGCCUGACGGAGCAAAGCCGCGUGAGUGAUGAAGGUCUUCGGAUCGUAAAACUCUGUUAUUGGGGAAGAACAUAUGUGUAAGUAACUGUGACCAUCUUGACGGUACCUAAUCAGAAAGCCACGGCUAACUACGUG